AUGAGCAAUAAUUCAGCAAAAACGAAGAAGAUUGGAAAUGAUAUGAUCUGGGACAGAAGCAAUUCCUUACGUACCGAUGAGCUUGACAAGAUUACGGUGGCGGAGACGGUUGAUGAUGCUCAGUUCGGCGAGGAAGUCCUCCUGCCCCUUGGUGUUGGCCCCGGAGAACUGCUUCACGGCCACCUCCAUGCUCCGCCCGCCUUCCCCGGCCACGGUGGCGCGGUACACCACGCCGUACCCUCCCUGCCCCAGCUUCAUCUUCUUGUCGAAGUUGUUGGUCCCUCUCUUGAGCUCCCUGAAGUCGAACUCCCUCGGCAUCCCCGGGAUGGCGCUCAGGUCAACGGCGGUGACGCCGGCAACCAUCUUGCCCUUCCUCCUGAUGUACAGGCCGGCGAGCAGCCCGAUGGCGAGCGCGACGGCGCACGGCACGCCCACGGCCGCCCCGAGCUUCCACCCCGACAUGGACCUGCUGGCCGUGCUUGA
rnacentral:rRNA from 1 species